AAUGAACGUUGGCGGCAUGGAUUAGGCAUGCAAGUCGAGCGAGAAGGGUUUUGAAGCUUGCUUUAGAACCCGGACAGCGGCGAAAGGGAGAGUAACGCGUAGUUAUGUGCCCUAGGGUCCGGGAUAGCCACGGGAAACUGUGGGUAAUGCCGGAUAAUAUCCCCGGAUCAAAGGUGUGAUUCCGCCCUAGGAGCAGACUGCGUCCUACUAGCUAGUUGGUGGGGUAAUGGCCCACAAAGGCAACGAUGGGUAGCGGGUGUGAGAGCAUGACCCGUCUCACCGGGACUGAGACACUGCCCAGACACCUACGGGUGGCUGCAGUCGAGAAUCUUCGGCAAUGGGCGAAAGCCUGACCGAGCGAUGCCGCGUGCGGGAUGAGGGCCCUCGGGUUGUAAACCGCUGUCGUAGGGGAGGAAGGUUUCGUGAAGAGCGAAAUUUGACCUAUCCUAGGAGGAAGUACGGGCUAAGUUCGUGCCAGCAGCCGCGGUAACAC
rnacentral:rRNA from 1 species